AGCCGACUUAGCUCAGUGGUAGAGCGCGUGGCUUUUAACCACGUGGUCGUGGGUUCGAUCCCCACAGUCGGCGUUGUUACACGAAAUUGAUAGGAAGCUAAGGCCUAAUUCUUUGUAUGAAAUUAAAACCUUAAGCUGAUUACUGAUUAGCAAAGCUACAUUUUAUCUCGUACAUGUUUUGUUUAAAAUAAAAACGGAAGUGAGUCAAAACUA
rnacentral:tRNA from 1 species